rfam:Ictidomys tridecemlineatus contig070633, whole genome shotgun sequence.
GGGGUUAUAGCUCUGUUGGUAGAGUGUCUGCCUAACAAGCACAAGGCCCUGGGUUCAAUCCCCAGCACCACCA